rnacentral:lncRNA from 1 species
GCGUUAGAAGUGGUCGCCGAACCUCUAGAGCUUCAGCCGAAAAUUCUUCGUGUUCAUUUUAUUUUCUGCACUUUAUUUUUCAGUUUAUAAUUGUGGCUUUGGAAUCUUGGUUAAUAUUCGUAUCCUUUGACUUUUCACAUGCCUUAUUUGGACACUGAAUAUCGUAAUGGGCUAUCAAGAAUUUUAUAUACACACACAAUAAUCUAUGAGCUGCAAAUAAUAAUGAACGAUUGGGUCCCUAGCUCCAGAUUUAUUGCAUUUGAUCAGCCGCACCAGAUUUAUUGCAUGUGAUCAGCCGCAAUAAAAAAAAAUAAAAAAUAAAAAAAAUAAAAAUUGGGCGCGACACUGAUUUCUUUCAACUUCCAUAUAAGCUAUUGAAAUUUGAGUGGCAUACCUGUUAAUUCAAACUGGUUUUAUAGCAAAGAAGAAAUUACUAAACACGGCGUUACCAUUUCUGGCAUUUCAAAAGCAUUUUUUGAAGGUAGCUGAUAUCACUCUCUCAAGUUGCCUUCAUCUUUAAACUAACAACAUGGGAUAUAGCUGACAUCACUCUCCCAGGUUGCUCUAAAUUCACAACAAAAAACCUAAUGUUUUUUAUUAGUAUAAGUUUACAGGCAGAAAUUAACUUAUUCUAACGAAAGACCUGGCCUCCGUUUUGAUCUGACCACUAAAAGUUGUAUGGUUUAUUGAUAACGAAGAUAAAUAGUAAUACAAACUACGAUAAAACUUGCUAGAUAUAAAAUAUAUUCAUAUAUAAAUAGACUUACCCCCAAAGUCCCACGUUUCACUUUCUGUUCUUUAAACGCACAAUAUUGACA